CCUCUUUCUUCCCUUACCCGAUGGCCUCCCAGAGAAGGAACAAAUUCUUUUCUCUCUUUGUCACCCAUCGGCUUCUAGAACAAGGAAAGGAAGAAAAUACUUCCAGCCCUCACCGUGCAACAAACCUUUCUCUCCCAUUCCAUUUCUCUUUCAAUCUCAAGCCAAGCUUCCAAGUUUCUUCCUUUUCAAGAGGGAAAUAGUAAGCCAAAGGUUUCGUAUAUCCUCUGUUUUCCUAAGCUGAAUCUAUCUCCAUUCUCCUCAUUUUCAUGUUUCGGAAGGUUUUCACCAAAGGAGUUUAUUUUCAAGAUUCAAGGAACUUACUUGUAAAGCCAUGAGGUAUGAAUGAUGAGGCUGUGGAGCUAGGCACUGCUGAGGAGGGAAGGGCUGAUGCUUAGUAUUCCCUGUCGGUUCGGUUUAACGAUGAUGGUUAUAUUUUAUGUUUUAUGAUGGGUCCCAUGUUGGGACGUUUUGUUGGUCGACUUUAAGACAAUAUGUCUUUGGCAUGAUGUAGAUAUUGUGGUAGUAUGAUGGUAAUAGUGUAACUUCUAUAGUGGGGUGAUGGUAACCCCACAUAAGAAGGUUAAACGUAUUUUGGAUUAUGUUGUAGGGACGGAGUCCCCUUUUUAUUGGAACUAGUGAUGUUUUAAAUGAAUGAAUGGUGGACUCUAAGAGUCCUUUGGGAAAUA